rnacentral:rRNA from 1 species
UACGAAGGGGGCUAGCGUUGUUCGGAUUUACUGGGCGUAAAGCGCACGUAGGCGGAUCUUUAAGUCAGGGGUGAAAUCCCGAGGCUCAACCUCGGAACUGCCUUUGAUACUGGGGAUCUCGAGUCCGGGAGAGGUGAGUGGAACUGCGAGUGUAGAGGUGAAAUUCGUAGAUAUUCGCAAGAACACCAGUGGCGAAGGCGGCUCACUGGCCCGGAACUGACGCUGAGGCGCGAAAGCGUGGGGAGCAAACAGG